UUAUGGCCAUAUCAUGUUGAAACACCAGUUCUCAUAUGAUCACCAAAGUUAAGCAAUGUUGAGCAUGUUAAGAACCUAUAUAGGUAACCGCUUGGGAAUACCAGGCGCUGUAAG